CUGGUUGAUCCUGCCAGACCCGACUCCUAUCGGAUUGGGACUAAGCCAUGCGAGUCAACUCCGCAAGGGGUGGCGCACGGCUCAGUAACACGUAGUCAACCUACCCUGGGGACGGGGAUAACCUCGGGAAACUGAGGCUAAACCCCGAUGGGCCAUGGCUCCUGGAAUGGGCUAUGGCUGAAAUCUACAUGGCCCCAGGAUGGAACUGCGGCCGAUCAGGUUGUUGGUGGGGUAAUGGCCCACCAAGCCUAUAACCGGUGCGGGCUCUGAGAGGAGGAGCCCGGAGAUAGGCACUGAGACAAGGGCCCAGGUCCUAUGGGGCGCAGCAGGCGCGGAACCUCCGCAAUGGGCGAAAGCCCGACGGGGUCAGUCCGAGUGGUUCCCGCUGAGGGAACCUUUUGCCAGCUGUAAACAGGCUGGCGAAUAAGGGGUGGGCAAGUUUGGUGUCAGCCGCCGCGGUAAUACCAGCACCCCGAGUGGUCGGGACGAUUAUUGGGCCUAAAGCAUCCGUAGCCGGCCCAGUAAGUCCUCCGUUAAAUCCAACGGCUCAACCGUUGGGCUGCGGGGGAUACUGCUGGGCUAGGGGACGGGAGAGGCGAGGGGUAUUCCCGGGGUAGGGGUAAAAUCCACUGAUCCCGGGAGGACCACCAGUGGCGAAGGCGCCUCGCUAGAACGUGCCCGACGGUGAGGGAUGAAAGCUGGGGGAGCGAACCGGAUUAGAUACCCGGGUAGUCCCAGCCGUAAACGAUGUAGGCUCGGUGUUGGGCUGCCUCAGUGGCAGCCCAGUGCCGCAGGGAAGCCGUUAAGCCUACCGCCUGGGGAGUACGGACGCAAGGCUGAAACUUAAAGGAAUUGGCGGGGGAGCACCAC
rnacentral:rRNA from 1 species